rnacentral:ncRNA from 2 species
AUAAUUCUUCGGGGCGAGGCGAAAUUCCUCACCGGCAGUUAUAGUCUGCGAAAAGUGCUUGCACUUCCGAUUCGGUGAAAUUCCGAAACCGACGGUAUAGUCCGGAUACGAGAAGAUUUAU